rnacentral:rRNA from 1 species
UACGGAGGGGGCUAGCGUUGUUCGGAAUUACUGGGCGUAAAGCGCGCGUAGGCGGCUUUGUAAGUUAGAGGUGAAAGCCCGGAGCUCAACUCCGGAAUUGCCUUUAAGACUGCAUCGCUAGAAUCAUGGAGAGGUGAGUGGAAUUCCGAGUGUAGAGGUGAAAUUCGUAGAUAUUCGGAAGAACACCAGUGGCGAAGGCGACUUACUGGACGCAUAUGACGCUGAGGUGCGAAAGCGUGGGGAGCAAACAGG